rnacentral:rRNA from 1 species
GGGCCCGCACAAGCAGUGGAGCAUGUGGUUUAAUUCGAUGCAACGCGAAGAACCUUACCAGGCCUUGACAUCCUCGGAACUUUCUAGAGAUAGAUUGGUGCCUUCGGGAACCGAGUGACAGGUGCUGCAUGGCUGUCGUCAGCUCGUGUCGUGAGAUGUUGGGUUAAGUCCCGUAACGAGCGCAACCCUUGUCCUUAGUUGCCAGCACAUUAUGGUGGGAACUCUAAGGAGACUGCCGGUGACAAACCGGAGGAAGGUGGGACGACGUCAAGUCAUCAUGGCCCUUACGGCCUGGGCUACACACGUGCUACAAUGGCUAGGACAGACGGCCGCAAACCCGCGAGGGGGAGCCAAUCCGACAAACCUAGUCGUAGUCCGGAUUGUUCUCUGCAACUCGAGAACAUGAAGUCGGAAUC